UAAGAUGGGUCCUCUCUUCGUAGGCUAAUGCAUUGGCCCUUUUUUGACCCGUUUUGGGGCGAAAACAAAAACUGACUCCCGGGCAUAUUUUUUUCGGCCUUUAUGGGCAAAGAACUUUAAUACCGCUCAAAAUGAGGCCACCCAGUAGUUAGGUGUGAAUUUUCGAGACCUCUGGCAUCGUUCUAAGAUGGGUCCUCUCUUCGUAGGCUAAUGCAUUGGCCCUUUUUUGACCCGUUUUGGGGCGAAAACAAAAACUGACUCCCGGGCAUAUUUUUUUCGGCCUUUAUGGGCAAAGAACUUUAAUACCGCUCAAAAUGAGGCCACCCAGUAGUUAGGUGUGAAUUUUCGAGACCUUUGGCAUCGUUCUAAGAUGGGUCCUCUCUUCGUAGGCUAAUGCAUUGGCCCUUUUUUGACCCGUUUUGGGGCGAAAACAAAAAACUGACUCCCGGCAUAUUUUUUUCGGCCUUUAUGGGCAAAGAACUUUAGUACCCGCUCAAAAUGAGGCCACCCAGUAGUUAGGUGUGAAUUUUCGAGACCUUUGGCAUCGUUCUAAGAUGGGUCCUCUCUUCGUAGGCUAAUGCAUUGGCCCUUUUUUGACCCCUUUUUGGGGCGAAAACAAAAACUGACUCCCGAGCAUAUUUUUUUCGGCCUUUAUGGGCAGAGAACUUUAGUACCGCUCAAAAUGAGGCCACCCAGUAGUUAGGUGUGAAUUUUCGAGACCUUUGGCAUCGUUCUAAGAUGGGUCCUCUCUUCGUAGGCUAAUGCAUUGGCCCUUUUUUGACCCGUUUUGGGGCGAAAACAAAAACUGACUCCCGGGCAUAUUUUUUUCGGCCUUUAUGGGCAAAGAACUUUAGUACCGCUCAAAAUGAGGCCACCCAGUAGUUAGGUGUGAAUUUUCGAGACCUUUGGCAUCGUUCUAAGAUGGGUCCUCUCUUCGUAGGCUAAUGCAUUGGCCCUUUUUUGACCACCGUUUUGGGGCGAAAAACAAAAACUGACUCCCGGGCAUAUUUUUUUCGGCCUUUAUGGGCAAAGAACUUUAGUACCGCUCAAAAUGAGGCCACCCAGUAGUUAGGUGUGAAUUUUCGAGACCUUUGGCACCGUUCUAAGAUGGGUCCUCUCUUCGUAGGCUAAUGCAUUGGCCCUUUUUUGACCCGUUUUGGGGCGAAAACAAAAACUGACUCCCGGGCAUAUUUUUUUCGGCCUUUAUGGGCAAAGAACUUUAAGUACCGCUCAAAAUGAGGCCACCCAGUAGUUAGGUGUGAAUUUUCGAGACCUUUGGCAUCGUUCUAAGAUGGGUCCUCUCUUCGUAGGCUAAUGCAUUGGCCCUUUUUUGACCCGUUUUGGGGCGAAAACAAAAACUGACUCCCGGGCAUAUUUUUUUCGGCCUUUAUGGGCAGAGAACUUUAGUACCGCUCAAAAUGAGGCCACCCAGUAGUUAGGUGUGAAUUUUCGAGACCUUUGGCAUCGUUCUAAGAUGGGUCCUCUCUUCGUAGGCUAAUGCAUUGGCCUUUUUUGACCCGUUUUGGGGCGAAAACAAAAACUGACUCCCGGGCAUAUUUUUUUCGGCCUUUAUGGGCAAAGAACUUUAGUACCGCUCAAAAUGAGGCCACCCAGUAGUUAGGUGUGAAUUUUCGAGACCUUUGGCACCGUUCUAAGAUGGGUCCUCUCUUCGUAGGCUAAUGCAUUGGCCCUUUUUGACCCGUUUUGGGGCGAAAACAAAAACUGACUCCCGGGCAUAUUUUUUUCGGCCUUUAUGGGCAAAGAACUUUAGUACCGCUCAAAAUGAGGCCACCCAGUAGUUAGGUGUGAAUUUUCGAGACCUUUGGCACCGUUCUAAGAUGGGUCCUCUCUUCGUAGGCUAAUGCAUUGGCCCUUUUUUGACCCGUUUUGGGGCGAAAACAAAAACUGACUCCCGGGCAUAUUUUUUUCGGCCUUUAUGGGCAAAGAACUUUAGUACCGCUCAAAAUGAGGCCACCCAGUAGUUAGGUGUGAAUUUUCGAGACCUUUGGCAUCGUUCUAAGAUGGGUCCUCUCUUCGUAGGCUAAUGCAUUGGCCCUUUUUUGACCCGUUUUGGGGCGAAAACAAAAACUGACUCCCGGGCAUAUUUUUUUCGGCCUUUAUGGGCAGAGAACUUUAGUACCGCUCAAAAUGAGGCCACCCAGUAGUUAGGUGUGAAUUUUCGAGACCUUUGGCAUCGUUCUAAGAUGGGUCCUCUCUUCGUAGGCUAAUGCAUUGGCCCUUUUUUGACCCGUUUUGGGGCGAAAACAAAAACUGACUCCCGGGCAUAUUUUUUUCGGCCUUUAUGGGCAGAGAACUUUAGUACCGCUCAAAAUGAGGCCACCCAGUAGUUAGGUGUGAAUUUUCGAGACCUUUGGCAUCGUUCUAAGAUGGGUCCUCUCUUCGUAGGCUAAUGCAUUGGCCCUUUUUUGACCCCUUUUUGGGGCGAAAACAAAAACUGACUCCCGAGCAUAUUUUUUUCGGCCUUUAUGGGCAAAGAACUUUAGUACCGCUCAAAAUGAGGCCACCCAGUAGUUAGGUGUGAAUUUUCGAGACCUUUGGCAUCGUUCUAAGAUGGGUCCUCUCUUCGUAGGCUAAUGCAUUGGCCCUUUUUUGACCCGUUUUGGGGCGAAAACAAAAACUGACUCCCGGGCAUAUUUUUUUCGGCCUUUAUGGGCAAAGAACUUUAGUACCGCUCAAAAUGAGGCCACCCAGUAGUUAGGUGUGAAUUUUCGAGACCUUUGGCAUCGUUCUAAGAUGGGUCCUCUCUUCGUAGGCUAAUGCAUUGGCCCUUUUUUGACCCGUUUUGGGGCGAAAACAAAAACUGACUCCCGGGCAUAUUUUUUUCGGCCUUUAUGGGCAAAGAACUUUAGUACCGCUCAAAAUGAGGCCACCCAGUAGUUAGGUGUGAAUUUUCGAGACCUUUGGCAUCGUUCUAAGAUGGGUCCUCUCUUCGUAGGCUAAUGCAUUGGCCCUUUUUUGACCCGUUUUGGGGCGAAAAACAAAAACUGACUCCCGGGCAUAUUUUUUUCGGCCUUUAUGGGCAAAGAACUUUAGUACCGCUCAAAAUGAGGCCACCCAGUAGUUAGGUGUGAAUUUUCGAGACCUUUUGGCAUCGUUCUAAGAUGGGUCCUCUCUUCGUAGGCUAAUGCAUUGGCCUUUUUUGACCCGUUUUGGGGCGAAAAACAAAAACUGACUCCCGGGCAUAUUUUUUUCGGCCUUUAUGGGCAAAGAACUUUAGUACCGCUCAAAAUGAGGCCACCCAGUAGUUAGGUGUGAAUUUUCGAGACCUUUGGCAUCGUUCUAAGAUGGGUCCUCUCUUCGUAGGCUAAUGCAUUGGCCCUUUUUUGACCCGUUUUGGGGCGAAAACAAAAACUGACUCCCGGGCAUAUUUUUUUCGGCCUUUAUGGGCAGAGAACUUUAGUACCGCUCAAAAUGAGGCCACCCAGUAGUUAGGUGUGAAUUUUCGAGACCUUUGGCAUCGUUCUAAGAUGGGUCCUCUCUUCGUAGGCUAAUGCAUUGGCCCUUUUUUGACCCGUUUUGGGGCGAAAACAAAAACUGACUCCCGGGCAUAUUUUUUUCGGCCUUUAUGGGCAAAGAACUUUAGUACCGCUCAAAAUGAGGCCACCCAGUAGUUAGGUGUGAAUUUUCGAGACCUUUGGCAUCGUUCUAAGAUGGGUCCUCUCUUCGUAGGCUAAUGCAUUGGCCCUUUUUGACCCGUUUUGGGGCGAAAACAAAAACUGACUCCCCCGGGCAUAUAUUUUUUCGGCCUUUAUGGGCAAAGAACUUUAGUACCGCUCAAAAUGAGGCCACCCAGUAGUUAGGUGUGAAUUUUCGAGACCUUUGGCAUCGUUCUAAGAUGGGUCCUCUCUUCGUAGGCUAAUGCAUUGGCCCUUUUUUGACCCGUUUUGGGGCGAAAACAAAAACUGACUCCCGGGCAUAUAUUUUUUCGGCCUUUAUGGGCAAAUAACUUUAGUACCGCUCAAAAUGAGGCCACCCAGUAGUUAGGUGUGAAUUUUCGAGACCUUUGGCAUCGUUCUAAGAUGGGUCCUCUCUUCGUAGGCUAAUGCAUUGGCCCAUUUUUGACCCGUUUUGGGGCGAAAACAAAAAACUGACUCCCGGGCAUAUUUUUUUCGGCCUUUAUGGGCAGAGAACUUUAGUACCGCUCAAAAUGAGGCCACCCAGUAGUUAGGUGUGAAUUUUCGAGACCUUUGGCAUCGUUCUAAGAUGGGUCCUCUCUUCGUAGGCUAAUGCAUUGGCCCUUUUUUGACCCGUUUUGGGGCGAAAACAAAAACUGACUCCCGGGCAUAUUUUUUUCGGCCUUUAUGGGCAAAGAACUUUAGUACCGCUCAAAAUGAGGCCACCCAGUAGUUAGGUGUGAAUUUUCGAGACCUUUGGCAUCGUUCUAAGAUGGGUCCUCUCUUCGUAGGCUAAUGCAUUGGCCCUUUUUUGACACGUUUUGGGGCGAAAACAAAAACUGACUCCCGGGCAUAUUUUUUUCGGCCUUUAUGGGCAAAGAACUUUAGUACCGCUCAAAAUGAGGCCACCCAGUAGUUAGGUGUGAAUUUUCGAGACCUUU
rnacentral:lncRNA from 1 species